CACUAUAAAAUAAUAUUUACUAUUCAAUUACAACUAAACGUAACAGACUUGUACAGAAAUUCAUCAGGGAAAUGAUGUCUUUUGUGUCAGCUUUUCUUGUGGCUGUCGCUGCAUUCGUUGUAUUACUUGAUGGCACACCAGCAGUACUCUGCUUCGUUGGUCCCGACCCUCGUGAACUCAUUGACCCUUGGAGUCAGCGACAGCGUGCAGGAAACAAAUUCAUUCUUUUUUAGAAUAAUAUCUACCAUAUCACGAUUUUUUAUUUGUAAAUCACGGUAAUUUAAGUGUUACUAUGUUUAAAAAAGAACUUUAACUUUCCAGAUGAUUUUUAAAAUAUUGAUUUGAAAGGUGAAUUUGAAGGGAAUCCUGACUAGAGUUUUCCAGGGAUUAUUGCAAUAAUAUAAUACAACUCUAAAAUACAUAUCGGAUUUAUUAAGCAAUAUUUAAAAAAGAAACAAAAUCCAUAGCUUCGGUGACAAUUUCUGAUACUUCCCAGUAUAACCAGUGCAGAGGUGUUCUUUCCUGAUAUAUCAAUAUGGAUUAAGCUAGGUAAUAUAUUAUAAUUCCAAGUAUAUUUUACUAUUAAAUCUGAGUUUGAAGAGAAUCAUGUUUUUUGGUACUGUAUCAUACAAUAUCAGUGUCUCCUGUAAAACAAAAUCAAAAGGUGCCGAUAUAUCAAUACGAAGUACCUAUGCUUUGAAAUAUACCGCCUUGCUCUAGAGAAUUUCAAAGCCUACAAUUAAAUAACAUUUUUUAACAAGAGAGAGGUGUAUUUGCAAGGGAAAAUUGCAUUUUAAUCAUGUUAAUAUUAUUAAUUUAUCAAAUUAAUAAUUUUUAAUGGAAAUACAAUUGUUUUAUAACUAUCAACAAAUUAUUAAACAUUACAAUGUGACGCAUAAUUUAUUCAGACAUUAUAGUUAACUUAAUUAAUUAUAUUAAAGUUAAAAGAGAUCA